AUCCAGCUGACGAGUCCAAAAUAGGACGAAACACGCGUCCUGUAU
rnacentral:hammerhead_ribozyme from 1 species